GACAGAGGUGCCAAGCGUUAGGCGGAAUCACUGGGCUUAAAGCGUGUGUAGGCGGGCGAUCAAGUACCUUGUGAAAUCCCACGGCUCAACCGUGGAACUGCUGGGUAUACUGGUUGUCUUGAGCCAGCUAGGGGCGAGCGGAACAGACGGUGGAGCGGUGAAAUGCGUAGAGAUCGGGAGGAACACCAGUGGCGAAGGCGGCCUUCUGGACCACUACUGACGCUCAUGCACGAAAGCGUGGGGAGCAAACAGG
rnacentral:rRNA from 1 species